rnacentral:rRNA from 1 species
AGUGAACGCUGGCGGUAGGCCUAACACAUGCAAGUCGAACGGCAGCACAGUAAGAGCUUGCUCUUACGGGUGGCGAGUGGCGGACGGGUGAGGAAUACAUCGGAAUCUACUUUUUCGUGGGGGAUAACGUAGGGAAACUUACGCUAAUACCGCAUACGACCUACGGGUGAAAGCAGGGGAUCUUCGGACCUUGCGCGAUUGAAUGAGCCGAUGUCGGAUUAGCUAGUUGGCGGGGUAAAGGCCCACCAAGGCGACGAUCCGUAGCUGGUCUGAGAGGAUGAUCAGCCACACUGGAACUGAGACACGGUCCAGACUCCUACAGGAGGCAGCAGUGGGGAAUAUUGGACAAUGGGCGCAAGCCUGAUCCAGCCAUACCGCGUGGGUGAAGAAGGCCUUCGGGUUGUAAAGCCCUUUUGUUGGGAAAGAAAGGCAGCAGGUUAAUACCCCGCUGUUCUGACGGUACCCAAAGAAUAAGCACCGGCUAACUUCGUG